AAAUUGAAGAGUUUGAUCAUGGCUCAGAUUGAACGCUGGCGGCAGGCCUAACACAUGCAAGUCGAACGGUAGCACAGAGAGCUUGCUCUCGGGUGACGAGUGGCGGACGGGUGAGUAAUGUCUGGGAAACUGCCUGAUGGAGGGGGAUAACUACUGGAAACGGUGGCUAAUACCGCAUAACGUCGCAAGACCAAAGAGGGGGACCUUCGGGCCUCUUGCCAUCAGAUGUGCCCAGAUGGGAUUAGCUAGUUGGUGAGGUAACGGCUCACCAAGGCGACGAUCCCUAGCUG
rnacentral:rRNA from 1 species